rnacentral:rRNA from 1 species
UACAGAGGGUGCAAGCGUUGCUCGGAAUCAUUGGGCGUAAAGGGUAGGUAGGUGGUCUCAUUUGUCUGGGGUGAAAGCCCAGGGCUUAACCCUGGAAGUGCCCCGGAAACGGUGAGACUGGAGUACUGGAGAGGGUCGUGGAAUUCCCGGUGUAGCGGUGAAAUGCGUAGAGAUCGGGAGGAACACCAGAGGCGAAGGCGGCGACCUGGACAGUUACUGACACUCAACUACGAAAGCGUGGGGAGCAAACAG